GUGUGUGUGGGUUUCAUGAGUAGAUCUGGAUUUGCUCCUGAGGGGUUGAUGCGGCGUCCUGAUGGCGUCCCGAUGACGUGGUGUCCUGAUGCCGUCCCGAUGACGUGGCGUCCUGAUGCCGUCCUGAUGGCGUCCCGUUGGUCUGCAGACAAGGAGAAGAGACGUGAGGAGGAUCAUCAGGAUCUAGUCUCUGUGCAUACCGAUAUGUUAGUGCGUCUCUGUGUAAGUACUUUUUACAUUACAUUACAUUUCAUUUAGCUGACGCUUUUAUCCAAAGCGACUUACAAUAAGUGCAUUCAACCAUAGGGUACAAACUCAGAAGUGCAAUUUCCUCAAAUAACUUUUAUAUGUUAGUGCGUCUUUGUGUAAGUACUUCUAUAUGUUAAUGCGUCUCUGUGUACAUCUACAUGACAACAGCAGGAAUCAGAGGUUUAUCUUAGCUCUAAAUCACAGCCUUCUCCACCCGAUAGACCAAUACAUCAUUCACAGCAGUAAGGCUGCAGUCUGUCUGGAUUUCUCACUUACCUUGAGCUCUGUUAAGUGCAGCAGAAUGCGUCUUCGUCCCCUCUACAGACUCCUGAGGCAUUACAUGGUUGCUUUCUGCAAGUGUAGGUCCGGAAAACUUCAGUGUGUAGAUGCGAG
ensembl:lncRNA